rnacentral:rRNA from 1 species
GAUGAACGCUGGCGGCGUGCCUAAUACAUGCAAGUCGAGCGAAGCGGGGACGGGUGAGUAACACGUGGAUAACCUCCUAUAAGACUGGGAUAAGUUCGGGAAACCGGAGCUAAACCGGCUACUUAUAGAUGGCUCCGCGCUGCCUUAGCUAGUUGGUGAGGUAACGGCUUACAAAGGCAACGAUGCAUAGCCGACCGGAGAGGGUGAGAGGCUACACUGGAACUGCGAUACGGGCCAUACUCCUACGGGAGGAAGGAGGAGGGAAGCGUCCGCAAUGGGCGAAAGCCGGACCGAGCAACGCCGCGUGAGUGAUGAAGGUCUGCGGAUCGUAAAACUCUGUUAUUAGGGAAGCGGUACCUAAUCAGAAAGCCACGGCUAACUACGUGCCAGCAGCCGCGGUAAUUC